rnacentral:rRNA from 1 species
UACGUAGGGGGCAAGCGUUGUCCGGAUUUAUUGGGCGUAAAGAGCGUGUAGGCGGCCAGGCAGGUCCGCUGUGAAAACUCGAGGCUCAACCUCGAGACGCCGAUGGAAACCCUCCAGCUAGAGUCCGGAAGAGGAGAGUGGAAUUCCUGGUGUAGCGGUGAAAUGCGCAGAUAUCAGGAAGAACACCCGUGGCUAAGGCGGCUCUCUAGUACGGUACUGACGCUGAGACGCGAAAGCGUGGGGAGCGAACAGG